CGAGGCCGAAGCGCGCCUGUCGCCCUUCCAGGCCCGUGCGGGGCGAUCCUGCAGCCUCCAGGCGGCGAUCCAGGGCUGCUCGAGGGCUGAGCGGGAGCCCGGAGGCGCGGCCGGCAUGGAGGCGCUGCUGCUGAGCGUGGGGUUGCUGCUGGGCGCCUACGUGCUAGUCUAUUACAACCUGGUGAAGGGGCCGCCGUGCCGCGGCAUCGCCAGCCUGCGGGGCCGCACUGCCGUGGUCACGGGCGCCAAUAGCGGCAUCGGGAAGAUGACGGCGCUGGAGCUGGCGCGCCGGGGAGCGCGCGUGGUUCUAGCCUGCCGGAGCCGGGAGCGCGGGGAGGCGGCCGCCUUCGACCUCCGCCAGGAGAGUGGGAACAAUGAGGUCAUCUUCAUGGCCUUGGACUUGGCCAGUCUGGCCUCCGUGAGGGCCUUUGCCACUGCCUUCCUGAGCUCUGAGCCACGGCUGGACAUCCUCAUCCACAAUGCCGGGAUCAGUUCCUGUGGCCGAACCCGGGAGCCCUUUAACCUGCUGUUGCGAGUGAACCACAUCGGCCCCUUCCUGCUGACACACCUGCUGCUGCCCCGGCUGAAGACAUGCGCCCCCAGCCGCGUGGUGGUGGUAUCCUCAGCCGCCCACCGUCGAGGCCGCCUCGACUUCACACGCCUGGACCGCCCAGUGGUGGGCUGGCGGCAGGAGCUGCGGGCAUAUGCCGACAGUAAGCUGGCCAACGUAUUGUUUGCCAGGGAGCUCGCCACUCAGCUUGAGGGCACUGGCGUCACCUGCUAUGCAGCCCACCCAGGGCCAGUGAACUCGGAGCUGUUCCUGCGCCACGUUCCUGGAUGGCUACGCCCACUUUUGCGCCCAGUGGCUUGGCUGGUGCUGCGGGCACCACGAGGGGGUGCCCAGACACCCCUGUACUGCGCUCUGCAGGAGGGCAUUGAGCCCCUCAGUGGGAGAUACUUUGCCAACUGCCAUGUGGAGGAGGUGCCCCCAGCUGCAAGAGACGACCGGGCAGCUCACCGGCUAUGGGAGGCCAGCAAAAGGCUAGCCGGGCUUGGGCCUGGGGAGGGUGCCGAAUCUGAUGAAGAUCCCCAGCCUGAGGACCCAUCUUCUCCGAGCAGCCCCCACCCUGAGGAGCCCACGGCUGCUGAACUCUACCCCAGCCCUCAGAGUUCACCAGACUUGUCUAAGGUCAUGCGCCGAAUUCUGGUUAAAGCUGAACCUGAGCUCCAAACCUCCUAACCCCCAGGCCGGGAAGCUUUCCAGCGCACUUGGUGGGCCUUGAAAACCUUAGCUGUGUUCCAGGCCACGCACUGGGCAUUGAGAGGGUUGCAAUUUUUACCUCCAUGGUUACUUUCUGGGGCUUCAAGCUACAUCCUGGACAGCUCGUUUCCUGAUGGAAGGAAAUAAAGGGCCCUACCCUCAGGAAUGCUGAUCAGCCCUGGAUGAGGGCCUGGGAAUUUGUAAUCUGAUGCACUGCCAACAUUGAGAAUUACUCAACUGGGCCCUUUUCGACCGUGUAGCUAGGUAGUUACAUUAUCCCCUUUUUCCAGAGGCGGGAUUAGGCAGCCAGGUAAGGGACUCGCCCAAGGUCUCCCAGCUAGUAAGAGCAGGGGCUGAAAUUGGAGCCCCGGAGGGCUGACUCCAGGGCCGGCCGCUGUAAGGUGGGUGCUGGGAGGUGAGAAAGGGCAGGGCGGUUGUUAUCGAGGC